CAGCAGACACAUUCCAGCCAAUCAGCAGCAGACCCUCCCUCCCAGACCCUCCCACCUCCUGGACAGCAUCCAUUUUGCAUUCAUUGUGAAGCUGCAUUCUUAGUGAGCUGUCCAGGAGGUGGAAGGGUCUGGGAGGGAGGGUCUGCUGCUGAUUGGCUGGAAUGUGCCUGCUG
rnacentral:miRNA from 1 species